UUUCCUCCCAUCGAGUACUAACAACAAUGGAUCAAAGUCAAGACCGAGAAGAUGAGGCUUCCAAGCUCUGAUCCAGUAUGAGACUCGUCAGAGUGCCGCGACUGCCAGAGGUGCACUGCAGGGACGAAAUGUUUAUGAUGGUUAUUGUCAGCUGGACAUUCAGUUCUCGAAUAUUAUUGAUGAACCACGGAGCAGGGACUUUACCAACCUAAAUCUGGCCACAGAGCAGAAAGGCCGAUCUUCACAAUCUGGAUAUGGCGAUGCAAGAAUGUAUGGAGGGAUUCCAGGUUCUGACCCUCACCGAUGUGUAAUGCUCAAGCAAUUGAAACUGCCUUCGGGGGAGAUUUGCCGCCUGGAAUAACUGGAACAAAUGAAAGGUGUACAAUUCUUGUCACAAAUCUCAAUCCUGAUAGAAUCGAUGAGCAUAAACUGUUCAACUUGUUCUCUCUUUAUGGGAACAUUGUCAGAAUCAAACGUCUCCGAAGUAAACCAGAUCAUGCGCUUGUCCAGAUGGGAGAUGGUUUCCAAGCUGAAUUGGCGGUACACUUUCUGAAGUGUGGUUUUCAAAUAUUGAAUUUCAAUCAUAUUUUCUAGACGCUGGAAUCAUACAUGUGUACGUGAAGUCAAGUCUCAACAGGUUCAAUCAGAAUGUUGCGAAAAACUACCGAUAUUGCUGCGUGCCGACAAAGAUUAUCCACAUGUCUACCCUCCCAGAACACAUUAUUGAAGAGGACAUAGCAAGUCUUCUGCAGGAGCAUGGAACAUAUGAUGUGAUGCAUUUCGGUAAGGAGCAAAGGAAUUAUAUCUUUGUCCGGAUUAAGGGAUUUCGAAUUUUGGAAGGAUAAUUUUAUGCAGACAAUCCCAUCUCCCGUGUCUUUAUAAUGGUCUCAUUGGUUGUGAAUUAACUUAUAAAAUUUGUUCUUGAAUUUUGUCAAAAAUAAAUAAAUAUUUGUUCUUGAAUUUUUCUUUUAAUCAUUUUUGUUCUCAUCUCCAUUGUCCCUUUUAGUUCUUUUAUGUUAGAUUCUAACAUAGAGUAAAUGAGGCAAGGAUUAUGGUUGCAGAUGCAUCAAGUUUUAAUGAGUAGAAAAGAUAUAAUUAGUUCCUUGUUUAGGUACUGCAUUAUUGGUUUUUAUGAUGAUUGUUGAUGUAUUAUAUUAUUUGGAAAACAGGCUUAAUUGGCCUUUAUGUUGUAUUCUCAAUAAACAUAAAAUUUCCUUG